GAGUUUGAUCCUGGCUCAGAUUGAACGCUGGCGGCAUGCCUUACACAUGCAAGUCGAACGGCAGCACGGGAGCUUGCUCCUGGUGGCGAGUGGCGAACGGGUGAGUAAUGCAUCGGAACGUAUCCUGGAGUGGGGGAUAACGUAGCGAAAGUUACGCUAAUACCGCAUAUUCUGUGAGCAGGAAAGCGGGGGACCUUCGGGCCUCGCGCUCUUGGAGCGGCCGAUGUCGGAUUAGCUAGUUGGUGAGGUAAAGGCUCACCAAGGCGACGAUCCGUAGCAGGUCUGAGAGGAUGAUCUGCCACACUGGAACUGAGACACAGUCCAGACUCCUACGGAGGCAGCAGUGGGGAAUUUUGGACAAUGGGGGCAACCCUGAUCCAGCCAUGCCGCGUGAGUGAAGAAGGCCU
rnacentral:rRNA from 1 species